UACAGAGGGUGCAAGCGUUAAUCGGAAUUACUGGGCGUAAAGCGUGCGCAGGCGGUUUUGUAAGUCUGUUGUGAAAUCCCCGGGCUCAACCUGGGAAUGGCAAUGGAGACUGCAAGGCUAGAGUUUGGCAGAGGGGGGUAGAAUUCCACGUGUAGCAGUGAAAUGCGUAGAUAGUGUGGAGGAACACCGAUGGCGAAGGCAGCCCCCUGGGGUCAAAACUGACGCUCAUGCACGAAAGCGUGGGGAGCGAACAGGGAUUAG
rnacentral:rRNA from 1 species